rnacentral:rRNA from 1 species
GACGAACGCUGGCGGCGUGCUUAACACAUGCAAGUCGAACGGAAAGGCCCUGCUUUUGUGGGGUGCUCGAGUGGCGAACGGGUGAGUAACACGUGAGUAACCUGCCCUUGACUUUGGGAUAACUUCAGGAAACUGGGGCUAAUACCGGAUAGGAGCUCCUGCUGCAUGGUGGGGGUUGGAAAGUUUCGGCGGUUGGGGAUGGACUCGCGGCUUAUCAGCUUGUUGGUGGGGUAGUGGCUUACCAAGGCUUUGACGGGUAGCCGGCCUGAGAGGGUGACCGGCCACAUUGGGACUGAGAUACGGCCCAGACUCCUACGGGAGGCAGCAGUGGGGAAUAUUGCACAAUGGGCGGAAGCCUGAUGCAGCAACGCCGCGUGCGGGAUGACGGCCUUCGGGUUGUAAACCGCUUUCGCCUGUGACGAAGCGUGAGUGUCGGUAAUGGGUAAAGAAGCACCGGCUAACUACGUGCCAGCAGCCGCGGUGAUACGUAGGGUGCGAGCGUUGUCCGGAUUUAUUGGGCGUAAAGGGCUCGUAGGUGGUUGAUCGCGUCGGAAGUGUAAUCUUGGGGCUUAACCCUGAGCGUGCUUUCGAUACGGGUUGACUUGAGGAAGGUAGGGGAGAAUGGAAUUCCUGGUGGAGCGGUGGAAUGCGCAGAUAUCAGGAGGAACACCAGUGGCGAAGGCGGUUCUCUGGGCCUUUCCUGACGCUGAGGAGCGAAAGCGUGGGGAGCGAACAGGCUUAGAUACCCUGGUAGUCCACACUGUAAACGGUGGGUACUAGGUGUGGGGUCCAUUCCACGGGUUCCGUGCCGUAGCUAACGCUUUAAGUACCCCGCCUGGGGAGUACGGCCGCAAGGCUAAAACUCAAAGGAAUUGACGGGGCCCCGCACAAGCGGCGGAGCAUGCGGAUUAAUUCGAUGCAACGCGUAGAACCUUACCUGGGUUUGACAUGGAUCGGGAGUGCUCAGAGAUGGGUGUGCCUCUUUUGGGGUCGGUUCACAGGUGGUGCAUGGCUGUCGUCAGCUCGUGUCGUGAGAUGUUGGGUUAAGUCCCGCAACGAGCGCAACCCUUGUUCACUGUUGCCAGCACGUUAUGGUGGGGACUCAGUGGAGACCGCCGGGGUCAACUCGGAGGAAGGUGGGGAUGACGUCAAGUCAUCACGCCCCUUAUGUCCAGGGCUUCACGCAUGCUACAAUGGCUGGUACAGAGAGUGGCGAGCCUGUGAGGGUGAGCGAAUCUCGGAAAGCCGGUCUCAGUUCGGAUUGGGGUCUGCAACUCGACCUCAUGAAGUCGGAGUCGCUAGUAAUCGCAGAUCAGCAACGCUGCGGUGAAUACGUUCCCGGGGCU